rnacentral:rRNA from 1 species
AUUGAACGCUGGCGGCAGGCCUAACACAUGCAAGUCGAGCGGAUGAAGGGAGCUUGCUCCUGGAUUCAGCGGCGGACGGGUGAGUAAUGCCUAGGAAUCUGCCUGGUAGUGGGGGAUAACGUCCGGAAACGGGCGCUAAUACCGCAUACGUCCUGAUGGAGAAAGUGGGGGAUCUUCGGACCUCACGCUAUCAGAUGAGCCUAGGUCGGAGUAGCUAGUUGGUGGGGUAAAGGCCUACCAAGGCGACGAUCCGUAACUGGUCGGAGUGGAGGAUCAGUCACAUUGGAGCGGAGACACGGUCCAGGCGCCUAAGAGACGGAGCAGUGGGGAAUAUUGGACAGUAGGCGAAAGCCUGAUCCAGUCAUGCCGCGUGUGUGAAGAAGGUCUUCGGAGUGUAAAGCACGUUAAGUUGGGAGGAAGGGCAGUAAGUUAAUACCUUGCUGUUUUGACGUUACCAACAGAAUAAGCACCGGCUAACUUCGUG